rnacentral:rRNA from 1 species
UAGGGAAUCUUCGGCAAUGGACGAAAGUCUGACCGAGCAACGCCGCGUGAGUGAAGAAGGUUUUCGGAUCGUAAAACUCUGUUGUUAGAGAAGAACAAGGACGUUAGUAACUGAACGUCCCCUGACGGUAUCUAACCAGAAAGCCACGGCUAACUACGUGCCAGCAGCCGCGGUAAUACGUAGGUGGCAAGCGUUGUCCGGCUUUAUUGGGCGUAAAGCGAGCGCAGGCGGUUUCUUAAGUCUGAUGUGAAAGCCCCCGGCUCAACCGGGGAGGGUCAUUGGAAACUGGGAGACUUGAGUGCAGAAGAGGAGAGUGGAAUUCCAUGUGUAGCGGUGAAAUGCGUAGAUAUAUGGAGGAACACCAGUGGCGAAGGCGGCUCGCUGGUCUGUAACUGACGCUGAGGCUCGAAAGCGUGGGGAGCAAACAGG